AGUACCAUACAAUCGUUAAAACUUUCAACAACGGAUCUCUUGGUUCUGGCAUCGAUGAAGAACGCAGCGAAAUGCGAUAAGUAAUGUGAAUUGCAGAAUUCAGUGAAUCAUCGAAUCUUUGAACGCACAUUGCGCCCCCCGGUAUUCCGGGGGGCAUGCCUGUUCGAGCGUCAUUA
rnacentral:rRNA from 1 species